CAAAGUGCUGGGAUUACAGGCUUGAGGCACCGUGCCCGGCCAGCUUCAGUAAUCUUAUGGCUUCAGAAUAUUUUGGCAUCUUCAGCCUACCGAAACAGUGUCAAAAAUGCCUCUCUUAUUUCUGCAUUGUCCACUGGACGUUUUAGUCAUAUUCAGAUACCAGUUGUUUCCUCCACUCCCAGACUUACCACAUCUGAGAGAAACCUGACAUAUGGGCAUACUUCAGCGAUCCUUAAUAGAGUGGUCCCUUUGCUUCCAAGUAUCUUGAAGCUGCCAGUCAGAUCUCUAACAUACGUCAGUAUACGAAAAGGCAAGAGAAAGAUUGUGAAAGCUGUCAUCUAUAGGUUUCUUAGACUUCAUUGUGGACUUUGGAAGAGAAGGGCUGGUUAUAAGAAAAAAUUUUGGAAAAAGACACAUGCAAGAAAAAAGCGAUUGAGGGAAUUUGUAUUCUGCAAUAAAACCCAGAGUAAACUCUUAAGAUAAAAUGACGACGUCCUUCUGGAAGAGGCGAAAGUGGUGUGUCCAUGAUCCUUAUCAGAAGUAUCAUGAUCGAACAAACCUGAAAGUAUAGAUCAGAAGUUUCACUUGUUUCUCAGUUAUUGAAUAUGUAUCUUUGUGUACAUAUCUUUGCAAAAAUGGAUAAGUAAAAAACUCGAUGUAAAUUGUACCAAUGAAUAUGUAAACAUACAGUGACAACAUUAAACUUAUAAAAGUUUUAAAACUUGAAAAAAAAAAAGCUCAGAUCUGUAAAGGACAUGUAAAAAGAAGGUGGAAAAUGUAUUUAGAAUCAGGGAAUGAUGCUAAAAGUGUGGUAGAGACAAAAGAGAAAAGAAUAGUCCUAAAAGUGGUUUAGGUUUGCAGCAGAUGCUGAUGAUAUCAAAACAAUCUUCACUUAAAAAAAAAAAAAAAAAGACUCCAAAGUACAAGCAACAAAUGGAAAAAA